CAAAAGAAAAGUCCUUUUGCUUCUGUAAGGCAGAAGGUCAUUAACGAAGAGGUCGACAGCUCUUUGCAGCUGACUUCAUCAGAGAAGUCAAUUAUCCUGAUUAGCUCGUCAAUAUAGUGAUGGUGAGAAAAGCUAAUAAAAAAUAGAGAAUCUACAUCGACUCACAAAUCUAAAUGAAACUUGUCCGAAAAAUAAUUUUUCUUUACUAA
rnacentral:lncRNA from 1 species